rnacentral:ncRNA from 1 species
AGAAAAAUAAACAAUUGACUUCUCUUGUAGAAAGGCCACUCCAUCCUCACCCUGUGUCAGGCCAAAGGACAGUUUCAGGUAGAUAGUUUCCUAUGAGACGUAAGCCUCCAAAAGAUAACAGAGGAAUACAAAAUUUUCUUGGACCGGAUGGAGAUUGACCCUCAAGCGCAAAAACAGAAGAGAGCUUGACUACAAGACCCACCCAUGGAACAGGGACGAAAGUCGGCCCUAGUAAUCCAAUGGUGGUGCUGAGUGGAAGAGCCGCCCCUCAAUGGAUAAAAGUUACUUUAGAGAUAGCAAGUUGAUCUUUCCAAAGAGUUAACAUUGACGGAAAGAUUUGACACAAAUACACCUCAUCUUCAUCCUCACCAUGUUAGCCUUGAUCCUU